rnacentral:rRNA from 1 species
UACGUAGGAGACGAGCGUUGUCCGGAGUUACUGGGCGUAAAGGGUGCGCAGGUGGCCGCGCGCGUGGGGAGUGAAAUCGCCUGGCUUAACUGGGCGGGGGCUUUCCAGACGGCGUGGCUUGAGCCACAGAGGGGGGCGUGGAAUUCCGGGUGGAGCGGUGAAAUGCGUAGAGAUCCGGAGGAACACCAAAGGCGAAGGCAGUGUCCUGGGGAGUACCUGACGCUCAGGUGCGAAAGCCAGGGGAGCGAACGGG